AAAACUAGCCAGUCCUUUGGGUGCGAAACCCAUUUGGGCGAGAGUAGUACUAGGAUGGGUGACCUCCUGGGAAGUCCUUGCGAAAGGGUUUC
rnacentral:rRNA from 1 species